GACGAACGCUGGCGGCGUGCCUAAUACAUGCAAGUAGAACGCUGAAGGAGGAGCUUGCUUCUCCGGAUGAGUUGCGAACGGGUGAGUAACGCGUAGGUAACCUGCCUGGUAGCGGGGGAUAACUAUUGGAAACGAUAGCUAAUACCGCAUAACAGUAGAUGUUGCAUGACAUUUGUUAAAAGGUGCAAUUGCAUCACUACCAGAUGGACCUGCGUUGUAUUAGCUAGUUGGUGAGGUAACGGCUCACCAAGGCGACGAUACAUAGCCGACCUGAGAGGGUGAUCGGCCACACUGGGACUGAGACACGGCCCAGACUCCUACGGGAGGCAGCAGUAGGGAAUCUUCGGCAAUGGACGGAAGUCUGACCGAGCAACGCCGCGUGAGUGAAGAAGGUUUUCGGAUCGUAAAGCUCUGUUGUAAGAGAAGAACGAGUGUGAGAGUGGAAAGUUCACACUGUGACGGUAUCUUACCAGAAAGGGACGGCUAACUACGUG
rnacentral:rRNA from 1 species